CAAUAGCGUAUAUUUAAGUUGUUGCAGUUAAAAAAGCUCGUAGUUGGAUUUUGGGUCGAUCCGACCGGUCCGCCGUUUCGGUGUGCACUGGUCGGGUUUUCCUUUCUGCCGGGGACUCGUGUCUGGUCUUAAUUGAUCGGCGCGAGGAGUCGGCGUUGUUACUUUGAAAAAUUAGAGUGUUUCAAAGCAAGCCAUCGCUCUGAAUACAUUAGCAUGGAAUAACAUGAUAGGACUUCUGUCUUAUUUUGUUGGUUUCCGAGACGGGAGUAAUGAUUAAUAGGGACAGUCGGGGGCAUCCGUAUUUCAGUUGUCAGAGGUGAAAUUCUUGGAUUUAUGAAAGACGAACUUCUGCGAAAGCAUUUGCCAAGGAUUGUUUUC
rnacentral:rRNA from 1 species